GAGCUUCUCUGCUAAUGGGAAGCAACAGCAGCUAGGAGUUAUCAUUUCUUCAGUGCCCAGGCAGCCAGCAUACAACCCACAGCCAGGGAGUGAAAGUGCUAAUGAGGACACCUGAAUUGAUUUGGUGGCGACAUUCAGCUGUUGAUCCAAUCACCAGACUAUAAAAGCAGUAAGAAAUGAAUGAAUUCUUCAUGAAAGUUGCUGGAUGGAAAACUUCUGUUUCUUUUCACAUGUCCUGGAGGAACAGCAGUGGAUUCCCCUGCCUUGUUUGACUUCCUAGGUUGGUCCCUUGUGUGUCUCUCACAGGAGCUCUGUUUGAUCACUAGUCUUUUAUGUUGAGAUAGUCCCAGGAGCAGCUAUAUUCCUGUGACCAGCCAAACCCUUUCAAUAUGCACAGCACUAAACUGAAUUACACCAAAUUUAACUAUCUUAACAUUGAUUAGACAGGU